UACGUAGGGUGCGAGCGUUGUCCGGAAUUAUUGGGCGUAAAGAGCUCGUAGGCGGCGUGUCACGUCGGCCGUGAAAACCUGGGGCUUAACUCUGGGCGUGCGGUCGAUACGGGCAUCACUAGAGUUCGGCAGGGGAGACUGGAAUUCCUGGUGUAGCGGUGAAAUGCGCAGAUAUCAGGAGGAACACCGGUGGCGAAGGCGGGUCUCUGGGCCGAUACUGACGCUGAGGAGCGAAAGCGUGGGGAGCGAACAGG
rnacentral:rRNA from 1 species